UAGAGAGGGAGAGACAGAGGCGCAGCAAAUAUGAAGAACUCGACUUCAAGCACAAAAUCACAGGACCUGCUUGAAGCCAUCAAAGCUUCCGAGGUUGUUGAGGAUCGAGUACGAUUGCUCCAGGAAUUGGAGGAUAUAGAUGUCAACGAAAAGUCUUCCGUUAAUUCUCUCAUUGAAGCACUAACAAUAUAUUGGGAAGACUAUACUUGUCUGGAUAUAUCUCAGUGCACCUUGAAUAAAACUGUUUUACAAGUGGCUGCGAAAUACUUUGAGACAGACAUCUCAGGGUGCCUGAUACAAUUUCUGGCUCUAGGAUCAAAAGCAAAUGUCUGGUGUAGAAAGCAUUUACAAAUGACUCUGAUGUCUUUGGAAGACUCCCCAGAAGAAGAGCAUUCUAGUUUUUUCUAUCAGUUAAUUCUGGAUUUACUUGGCUACUCUGCUGCUAUUUAUUCAGCUUUGGCAAGAUAUCCUAUUUCUGUUAAUAGAGAGUUGGUGGGCAGCCUAGAAAACUUUAUUGCAGAACAGUUCACUCUGAUGAAAGACUUGGUAUCAGAAAUAAAGAGGAUUAACAUUCUAGGUCCAGAGCUACUGAAGGCAGCACAGAUGACUGUAGACGCUGCAACUCGGUUAUGCAAGGUAUACUGCAAUGAUGUGAACUGGGAUAUUUACCGUGCGAAAACUGAAAAUGAAAGUUUAAGAGACUGUAAAGUGACUGAAAAUGGUGACCAUGUUGUUCAUGUAACCAAUUGCACAAUUAAAAAGUUGUGUGAGUUGGGCACUGCAGCAGCUAGCGAUGGAGGCAGUCUUGUGAGUCUACUUAACAUGUCAUGGAAAGGUGUAGUUUCUCUGCUUCAGUUUGGUAGGGGUUCUUUAGCAACAAAGGUGAAUAUAACAGAUAUUAUUAUGAACCUGAUUUCAUUGGCCAGUGAAUCAUUGAGAUGUGCUGCUGACACUUGGUCAUCUUCUACAAAGGAAGAAGUCUCUGUGGCAGAGGCCAAAAGGAGUUUCCUUCCAGUCAAGUUUUAUCUAAUCAAUGCAGUAAGAAUUGUUUCACAAUACCAAAGCCAAGCCUUCUUGGUGUACAAGGAGAUAGCAAUGUUGGUUGUUAUGAUAUUAACCUUCAGAAUUGCACUCAGCAUGGUGGAAAGGUUGAAAUCCGCAAGCGAAGUACUGGCAGAAAUUUUGGAGCCGACAUCCUUGCACUUACUCAACACUUUGUUAUAUUCAGCUCUGGUGAAGCAAGAAGAGAAGCUCCAAAUUUUGGACUGGCUGUUUAGUAACAGCGGUGACAUGAGUUCUGUGACUGUGGGCAUCAGCAGCUGCCACAAUUCGUUAGAUGUGAUAUUUACCAUAAGUUCCAAUGACUUGAACAAGGAAAGGGUUUUCUUUCUGGGCCGAGUUGCCUUAUUUCUUAGUCUUGUCUUGUGUGCUCCUGAUCUCGAAGAUGACAUCAGAAUUGGCAUUGCCAGAAAGCUUGGAUGGCUUUUGGAUACACUCGUAUAUGAAGAUGUUUAUUGUUCCACUCUUUUUUUGCAGACUCCUUUAAACAGUAGCCAAAACCAUGAAUUGGCUUACCAACCCAUGGUUUGUGCUGUACUCCAUGCACUUAAGACAUUCAUGAUUGUGGUCUCUUCAAGUCAGGCAUGGGAUGAAGUAGAGUCGUUCCUCAGCGAAAACCUUUUCCAUCCUCACCAUCUGUGUUGGGAUAUUUUCACUGAACUUUGGUGUUUUGUCCUUAGGCAUGCCGAGCGCAGUAUGGUGAACGAUGUCAUCGAUAAACUAUGUUCACUAUUGAUGCUAACAUCUCAAGAAUCGGCACUGCUUCCUCAUAGCUCUCUGCGCAAAACUGCAAGACUUAUCUGUACAAUUGUUACUUAUGGACCAGAAUUCUUGGCCGAUCAAGUUUACGGUAGCAUAUUUGAAAGCACUACAACUCAAAAUGUAUUGAAUGUGCAUGCAAGUCUGCACAUGGAAGGUUUUCCCCUGAAUUUGCUUUCAGAAAAGAAAAGAUGCAUGGCCAAACAGAGAAUUGUGACUGAAUAUUAUGACUUCCUGGAGAGCUUCGAAGAUGCCUCACCAAGAGAAAGUUCUGUUUAUGGUGCUCCUGUCUUUGCUCUCCGUGCUGCUUUGCAGUCUCUCCAGGUAAGCCUGUCCGAUACUGACAUGAAGACUGUGAAGUUCUUGAUUGCUAUUGUUCGUAAGUACAGAAGUUCCUCAGACAAUGCAAUCAAGGAUGGAUACCGAAUGCUUCUUGGCGAACUGCUAGAGAUCAUAUCUAGCAUGAAGCAUUUAUACUCAUUUGAUGAAAUGGAAGAAGUUAUUUUGGAGCUCCAGAACCUCUUUAUCUCGAGACCUUCAUACUCAGAUGACCAACUCUUGCUAUGUAAACCUAAUCUAGUUUGCUUCAUGACUGGCCUUGGUCAUAUGAAAUUACCAGACUGUGAUGACAGCGCGAGAAGUUCGGCUGCAUGUGAACUAUAUCAAAUGCUACUCAGGGAGAGGCACUGGGCUUUUGUUCACUUAGCUAUCACUGCGUUUGGGUAUUUUGCUUCUCACACUUCCUGUGACGAACUCUGGAGGUUUGUGCCACAAGAUGCUGCCUUGUCUUUUGAUUUGCAGCGGGGAAGUGAAACCGACCAAGAUGGAUUCAUGUCGGAGUUGAAGGUAGUUCUGGAGAAGGAUAUGGCAUGUCCAACAAUACAAGGUAGUCCCGAUCAGAUCGCAUUGCUAGUGAAAGAAGGUCAAGUGCUGAAGGAAAUUUGUAGGGACAGUGUGAAAUGUGCUCCAGUGGUGACAUUAUGUGAUAUGAUGGAUGUUGAGAAUGAGAAACAGCCUAGCAAGAAAAGGAAACUCCCUAAUGAAAUCUCAAGAGGAGCGGAACUGCUACAGAGCGGCUUGAAGAUUAUGCUAGAUGGCCUUUCCGAUUGGCAACAGAAUCAACCAGACUCAAGUGAAGCUCGUGAAAAGUUUUUGAGCCAUUUCAGCUGUCUUGAAGAUGUGGUAGCCCACUUAGCUAAACUUGCUGAUAGUAGCUGAGAGUCUGCAGUCUGAACACGAAAAUUCGACGAUGUUGCGGAGCCAAGAAGCGCUUGUCUUUAGACAGGCUUAGAAUUCAUCGAUUCGAUCGUUACGAAGCUAGGAUCUAUGUCAAGAGUUUGGUGGUGGGGAUAAUGGUUGGCGUUGCGGCGGUGAUACACGACGACAACGACGGAUAAAUGUGAAUGCACUUUGUCUCCUACUUCAGUUGGCGGAUUUAUAAUUGAGAAAUCACACGCACGGGUAUUUUAUAAGGGUUUACAAUCGAGAAUGGUCUCCUCAAUCCUCCAAUCUUCUAUAUUCUGUGGAAUGAAGAUGAUGAGCAACACACAGAAAUUAUCAUCCCCUUGCCUGAUAAUACCGUCAUCCUACGAAGUUGGGUAUAAAAAGUUGUACAGCCUGGCAGAGAAGAAAGUGGUGAGCAUCGACAAGGCAGCGCCGCCGCCGGCGUGGGCACAAGGCGGGCGGGUGAAACAUGUGGGGUGUUCCCACGGCUGGGUGGCCUCAUUCAAUGAGGACAACCGUCAGACAUUCCUCUUUGAUCCCAUCACCACAUAAAGCUUCCCGACGUUGAUCACACCUUUCCCGCACAGCCACCCUCACCCUUCGGCACUCGCCCCAUCAAUAUCAUCCUAUCCUCCUCUCCCGACGCCCUAGACUGCCGCGCGAUCAUGCGGUACGCCCCUUCCUCCCGCAUUGCGAUCUGGUCCCCCGCCCACAGCAGCGCCAGCUGGCUCCCCGUGUGCGGCCAAGGCCCCUACCACGUAAUCGCCUACUCCACCAGCCAGAACUGCCUCUUCUGCCUCACGCAGAAGUCGGACUCGGACUUGGUGCUCGAGUGCUGGGACCUCGAACAUCCCUCGUCCUUUGUGUGGACGGCCGGGAUUCAUUCGGAUCACGGGCACGAGGAAUGGCACUGCCAUUGCCCCAAGUAUCUUGUGAUCGAUGAGCAUUCCGACCGGCUAUUUCUAGUGAUACGUGUUAUCUUGGAAGAGGGUGGGUAUGAUGAGGAUAGGGUUGACGACCCAGUGUCGUUUUGCAGAUUAUGUGGAAACUACAAGGAACACUAUUGCAGAUCAUGUGGAAACAACAAGGGAGACGAGCUGAGAUGCAAUUUCCUUGAAUCUUACUGCACUUGCCCACGAUUGCAGAAUUGGUCGGAAUACAUGGUUCAAGAAGCGCUGGUUGAUAUCUACAAAACCGAGAAAAGAAUUGUCAAGGAAGUUCAACAAGUGCUGCUUGAAUCCCACAAUACCAAGAAAAGAAUUGCCGAGGAAGAAAAAAAGAUGAAAGAGGAUGAGGAUGGUGAGAAAGAGGAAGAGGAUGAUGAUGAUGAUGAUGAUCUCUACAGUUACUCACACAAAACCCUUCGUUUCCACGUGUAUGAAAUUGAUCGCAAAAAAGGUAAAAUGAGGUACAUGGACGCCUCAUUGGAUGGGUUGGCAAUGUUUGUCGGAAGCAACCACUCGUUUGCCCUGCCAGUGGCGGACUUCCCUCACCUGAACUUGAGCCCAGAUUCUAUUUAUUUCACUGAAGAUGGUGUAAAUUAUAUUAGCUAUGGAAACAAUGAUGAUAUUGGCAUCUUUAAUUACGUGGACAGCAAAAUUUCUUCCAUCGAUUAUCAGUCUCAGAUAUCCACGACUUCCUCCAGGAUUGCUCCAGCCAUGUGGCUCACUCCAAUUCCAUGCUAACACCACAAAUCUGUCAAUUAUGUAGUAGUACUAGUAUUUAACUUGUUUCUUAGGUUUUACUUAUUGUGUUCUGCUUUAUCAGCAAAUUCGGAGACAUUAGCGAGCAAGCACCUUUCCAAGUUUCUUCGAUUUUUGUUGUAAUGGAAAGGUGUGGUUUCUCUGCUUCAGUUUGGCAGGGGCUCUUUAGCUACAAAAAUGAAUAUAAACGAUAGUAGUAUUAUUAUGAACCU